rnacentral:rRNA from 1 species
CCUACGGGAGGCAGCAGUGAGGAAUAUUGGUCAAUGGGCGAGAGCCUGAACCAGCCAAGUCGCGUGAGGGAGUACUGCCCUAUGGGUUGUAAACCUCUUUUGUCGGGGAGCAAAAGCCGGACGUGUCCGGCUGUGAGAGUACCCGAAGAAAAAGCAUCGGCUAACUCCGUGCCAGCAGCCGCGGUAAUACGGAGGAUGCGAGCGUUAUCCGGAUUUAUUGGGUUUAAAGGGUGCGCAGGCGGAUUUUUAAGUCAGCGGUAAAAUCGUGGGGCUCAACCCCAUCCAGCCGUUGAAACUGGGGAUCUAGAGUGUGCGAGAGGUAUGCGGAAUGCGUGGUGUAGCGGUGAAAUGCAUAGAUAUCACGCAGAACCCCGAUUGCGAAGGCAGCUUACUAAACUGCCACUGACAUUGAUGCUCGAAAGUGUGGGUAUCAAACAGGAUUAGAUACCCCGGUAGUC